GCGGCUGUGGUGUAGUGGCAACACGGAAGCUUCCCAAGCUUCAAAUGAGGGUUCGAUUCCCUUCAGCCGCU
rnacentral:tRNA from 1 species